ensembl:ncRNA K08A8.14 ncRNA
AUUCGUCGACGUCUUCCGAAUCAUCAACGUCGCCGUUUCUGCUGCUGGUGGAGAAGCGACGGAUUGAGAGAAACGUUGUCAUCAUCAUGUGAAAUAGGUCCCGCCAGGACAUUGCGUCGGCAUCAUCA